AACGAACGCUGGCGGCGUGUCUUAAGCAUGCAAGUCGUGCGGCAAGGGGUAGCAAUACCCCCUAGAGCGGCGGACUGGUGAGUAACGCGUGGGUGAUCUGCCCUUGGGAUGGGGAUAGCCACUAGAAAUAGUGGGUAAUACCGAAUACGUUCGGCACUUCGAUGUGCCGAGGAAAAGCGCUUCGGCGCUGCCCGAGGAUGAGCCCGCGUCCCAUUAGCUAGUUGGUGAGGUAACGGCCCACCAAGGCGAUGAUGGGUAGGCGGCCUGAGAGGGUGUACGCCCACAUUGGGACUGAGAUACGGCCCAAACUCCUACGGGAGGCAGCAGCUAAGAAUAUUCCGCAAUGGACGAAAGUCUGACGGAGCGACGCCGCGUGGAUGACGAAGGCCGAAAAGGUUGUAAAGUCCUUUUGCUGGGGAAGAAUAACCAUGGGAGGGAAUGCCCGUCGGGAGUGACAUGAACCGGCGAAUAAGACCCCGGCCUAACUACGUGCCAGCAGCCGCCGGUAAAAGUAGU
rnacentral:rRNA from 1 species